rnacentral:rRNA from 1 species
UACAGAGGUCCCAAGCGUUGUUCGGAUUCACUGGGCGUAAAGGGUGCGUAGGUGGUGAGGUAAGUCGGAUGUGAAAUCUCCACGCUCAACUUGGAAACUGCAUUGGAAACUACCUUGCUAGAGGAUUUGAGGGGGGAUUGGAAUACUUGGUGUAGCAGUGAAAUGCGUAGAUAUCAAGUGGAACACCAGUGGCGAAGGCGAAUCCCUGGAAAAUACCUGACACUGAGGCACGAAAGCUAGGGGAGCAAACAGG